rnacentral:rRNA from 1 species
UACGUAGGGGGCAAGCGUUGUCCGGAAUCAUUGGGCGUAAAGAGCGUGUAGGCGGCCCGAUAAGUCCGCCGUGAAAGUCCAGGGCUCAACCCUGGAAUGCCGGUGGAAACUGUCGGGCUGGAGUCCGGAAGAGGCGAGUGGAGUUCCUGGUGUAGCGGUGAAAUGCGCAGAUAUCAGGAAGAACACCCGUGGCGAAGGCGGCUCUCUGGGACGGUACUGACGCUGAGACGCGAAAGCGUGGGGAGCGAACAGG